GGCCUCGUGGUAGAGUGGCAAGGACACUUGCCUCUCACCUUGGAGUCCCGGGUUCGAUCCCCGGUCAUGGAGCUA